UGGGUGGAUUAGUGGCGAACGGGUGAGUAACACGUGAGUAACCUGCCCUUAACUCUGGGAUAAGCCUGGGAAACUGGGUCUAAUACCGGAUAGGAGCGCCCACCGCAUGGUGGGUGUUGGAAAGAUUUAUCGGUUUUGGAUGGACUCGCGGCCUAUCAGCUUGUUGGUGAGGUAAUGGCUCACCAAGGCGACGACGGGUAGCCGGCCUGAGAGGGUGACCGGCCACACUGGGACUGAGACACGGCCCAGACUCCUACGGGAGGCAGCAGUGGGGAAUAUUGCACAAUGGGCGCAAGCCUGAUGCAGCGACGCCGCGUGAGGGAUGACGGCCUUCGGGUUGUAAACCUCUUUCAGUAGGGAAGAAGCGAAAGUGACGGUACCUGCAGAAGAAGCACCGGCUAACUACGUGCCAGCAGCCGCGGUAAUACGUAGGGUGCGAGCGUUAUCCGGAAUUAUUGGGCGUAAAGAGCUCGUAGGCGGUUUGUCGCGUCUGUCGUGAAAGUCCGGGGCUUAACCCCGGAUCUGCGGUGGGUACGGGCAGACUAGAGUGCAGUAGGGGAGACUGGAAUUCCUGGUGUAGCGGUGGAAUGCGCAGAUAUCA
rnacentral:rRNA from 1 species